AUUUACAUAAAGUGAACAUGAGACUUCCAAGCUUUGCUCAGAGCAGGAAGAGUUUUGUUUCCUGUUUGCCUCACAGCAGGAUUGUCCCGUGGACUCAUCGAAGCCACUGAUCAGGAUUUGUUUCUUCCAGCUCCCUCAGGUUUUUGUCUUUUUUUUUUUUUUUAACACACCUAAGAAGUACUUAGAUCAGAGAUUCUGACCUUUGGACCGGUUUGGACCGGCAUUCGUGUCACAUUCCAGCCACCCUGAACAGGCCGCUGACGCCUCCACCCCUGGAGGGAAAAUGUCUUUCUUCAAAGAACAGUGGUCCCGUAAGAGCAUCCCAGUUGAGUCGGACGAGAGGAUGAGUCCCUGUGACCCUGAAUACAAUCCCCACGUCUGUGAAUGCAGCGAACAGGAGGGAGGCAUGAUCAGGCAAGGUCCCACCAGCUCCAUGUCGUACAGACUACCACAUGACCAGUAUGACGUCAACACGUCGGCGCGCUGCCAUGAUCUCUCUGAUGUGUCCUUGGAACAACCACGGUCUCUCAGAUCCACCUGUGGGCAGUCCAUUCCGCAAAGGUACCAGGCACAAAGUCAAGGUGGAGUUCCCACUGGUCACAGACAGUAUGCAUGCAGCCCUCUUGACCAUCCCCAUAACGUCAUGAGGCCCCCACAUCAGAACACUCCACUUGACCUGCUCCAACCUAGAAAUGCUGGACAAGCUUCGCCACUACAGAGACCGCCGCCUCCCAUAGAUGUGAUGCAUGAGCGCAGUCUGAACCCAGGACUGGGCCCAGGACCGGUCACGAGGGAGGUCCGACGGACCAUCAGCCUUCCUGAGGAGAGCAGUUAG
rnacentral:lncRNA from 1 species